AGCGAACGCUGGCGGCAGGCUUAACACAUGCAAGUCGAACGAACUCUUCGGAGUUAGUGGCGGACGGGUGAGUAACACGUGGGAACGUGCCUUUUGGUUCGGAAUAACUCAGGGAAACUUGUGCUAAUACCGAAUGUGCCCUUCGGGGGAAAGAUUUAUCGCCAUUAGAGCGGCCCGCGUCUGAUUAGCUAGUUGGUGAGGUAACGGCUCAUCAAGGCGACGAUCAGUAGCUGGUGUGAGAGGAUGACCAGCCACACUGGGACUGAGACACGGCCCAGACUCCGGCGGGAGGCAGCAGUAGGGAAGCUUGCGCAAUGGGCGAAAGCCUGACGCAGCCAGGGCGCGUGAAUGAUGAAUGUCUUAGGAAUGUAGAAUUCUUUCGCCGGGGACGAUAAUGGCGGUACCCGGAGAAGGAACCCCGGCUUACUUCGUG
rnacentral:rRNA from 1 species